rnacentral:rRNA from 1 species
UACGGGGGGGGCAAGCGUUGUUCGGAAUUACUGGGCGUAAAGGGUUCGUAGGUGGCCAACUAAGUCAGACGUGAAAUCCCUCAGCUUAACUGGGGAACUGCGUCUGAGACUGGAUGGCUUGAGUGCAGGAGAGGAACGCGGAAUUCCAGGUGUAGCGGUGAAAUGCGUAGAGAUGUGGAGGAACACCAGUGGCGAAGGCGACUCUUUGGCCUGUAACUGACGCUGAGGCGCGAAAGCGUGGGGAGCAAACAGG